rnacentral:rRNA from 1 species
GAUGAACGCUAGCUACAGGCUUAACACAUGCAAGUCGAGGGACCGGCGCACGGGUGAGUAACACGUAUCCAACCUGCCCUUUACUCGGGGCUAGCCUUUCGAAAGAAAGAUUAAUACACGAUGUAAAUGCUGGGGAUGCGUUCCAUUAGGUUGUUGGUGAGGUACAGGCUCACCAAGCCUUGGAUGGAUAGGGGUUCUUAGAGGAAGGUCCCCCACAUUGGAACUGAGACACGGUCCAAACUCCUACGGGAGGCAGCAGUGAGGAAUAUUGGUCAAUGGGCGUGAGCCUGAACCAGCCAAGUAGCGUGAAGGAUGAAGGCUUAUGGGUCGUAAACUUCUUUUAUAUAAGAAUAUGUAUUAUAUGAAUAAGGAUCGGCUAACUCCGUGCCAGCAGCCGCGGUAAUUC